ACUAAAAUGAUACAUUAAAAGAUACCGAAACAUCAAGAGUGGGUCAAACUGUCUACACACAACAGCAACAGAGGAUCAAGCUCAUGUCUACACAAGACGCUGUGCACAAGUUACACGAACGUCUGUUGAUUGAGUCAACUCUUGACGGAAUACAAAGACACAUACGAGCCGUGAAGAGUUUACAAGCAAUCAGGUAUCGCAGAGGGAAGAGAAACCAGACAAAGAGUGAGAGGCAAAAUUGAUUGAACUUGCAACUGCGUACAUCUUGGAGAUAGUCCUAAAGUGGAGGCAAGUCUAUAAAUAGCAAGCUUUUUGAUCUACACUAUGUACACAUUGUACA